CUUUUCUCGCAGGCACAGUGUGGCUAUUUUAUGUACAUGGCAUAUGUGUUUGAGGAAGCAUGGGGAGGCCUAGAAGACAGCAAAGCCCCCAGCUUUCCAAGAUGUGCCCCUGAAGAAUGGGAUCAGGCAUCUCAUGCUCCUCUUGCCUUGUAACAUUCAGUGCUGCUUUUUCAGAGCAAAGAGGAACUGAAGUGACUUAACUCACCUGCAGUCAACUCACACUAAGUCUGUGCAGCACUGACUUUGCUGAUAGCUGUGAGGAAUUUGCAUUUUUUAGGCUGUGAAAUAACUCAGGCAAUGACAGGUAAAUUAGACAGAUGUAUGAUAAGGCCUCACCAGGAUCUUCUGUGUGUUCUUCUGAGCUCAGACAGGAGGAGUAGCUACUGUGCAGCCAGAUGGUUUCAUUUUUUCAAGAAGAUUAAUUACCUGGCAUUGACUGGCCUAGCCCUGGCAUCUGAGAAAUGAGUACUCAGGGCAACAAGUGAUCUACAUAGUUGUCCCCUCUGGAGCCAGCUGGAAGAGUUCAGUGGACUUUUCCUCAGGCUGUUGGUGCCUAGAUGUUGUGUGGUGCUAUAUGUUCCACUGUUUCAGUUCUUGAGCUGUCUGUUGAAGCUUGUGUAAUGGGCAUGUAAGCGUAUUAAGGAAGGAAUGACCGAAGUCUGAGUGUAUUUUCAGGAUCCUCUGUCACAGUGAGGAUCAGCACUCCUGAUGACUUCAUGACUCCCCCUCUUCCUGCUUACCAGGAGGGGUGUCUGAGCCUGACAAGCGUGAUGAGUCUGAAUCAGAGAUAUGGCUACAGAGAAGAGCACGUGCUUGUCUCCUGGAUAUUCCUGCAGCUCUGCAGAAGCACUCUGAACAGCCACAAAAAGGUGACUAUUUAUAAAACAGAAACUGUUUCAUAGAAGUUGAUUUCUGUGAUUCGAACUGGGGAAGAACAACAGUGUCCUGUGAUGCAGAGUAAGUUGUGAUAAUAGAGCUAUUAAUACUUGAUUUUCCCUCUGAAUCAGAAAAAAAAUUCAUACCUGUUGAAGGGCAGGCUAGGUUAUUGCAAUGCUACCUUUUGGCACAGUGCAGGUUCACAGUUUCUACUGAAAUGGAGAUCAGGUUCUCAAAAUAUCAUCUACAGGGUAAAGAGAAAGAUCACAUAUGUGUGUUCUACCUUCAGCUGGGGAACAUAGGCUGAAAUUUUGAGGAAAGAGAAGAUGGCCAAGAUUUCUUGUUGAUGAUUCUUGAUGUUUUUGGUUAUGGACAGCCUUCUGUUCUCUAGCAGCCUGUAUUUUCCCAGUGAAACACAACUAUGAAGACAUGUGGAAAACAAUCAAAAAACAUAAGUAGGGAUGACUUCAUGACAAGAAACCAUGUUUCUAAGGGUUUAUGGAAAAAGAGAGUAAAGCAUUCUUAUCUUUGCACUUGCCUGUAAAAAACAAACACACACAAAAAACCACAACAAAAUAUGAUGCCAUGUCAAAAUUCCCUAUUAAUUCUUCUUUGGUGCAUGUUUUCAAAGGUUUUGGGAAGCACAGUGUUGUUUUUAUGUCCUAAAGCUGUACUGAUGGAUGUUUGCUUAACAUGAGUCAAGACCACGAGCAGGGAAACUAAUGUUCUUCUUCCAUCAUCAUGGAACAGUUUGUGCAGAGCUUGCCUCUGAAGACAACUAGAGAUAUCCUUGUCCUUUUC
ensembl:lncRNA